rnacentral:rRNA from 1 species
UGGGGAAUAUUGCGCAAUGGGGGGAACCCUGACGCAGCCAUGCGCGUGAAUGAAGAAGGCCUUCGAGUUGUAAAGUUCUUUCGGUAUUGAGGAAGGUUGAUGUGUUAAUAGCACAUCAAAUUGACGUUAAAUACAGAAGAAGCACCGGCUAACUCCGUGCCAGCAGCCGCGGUAAUACGGAGGGUGCGAGCGUUAAUCGGAAUAACUGGGCGUAAAGGNNAAGCAGGCGGUUAUUUAAGUGAGGUGUGAAAGCCCCGGGCUUAACCUGGGAAUUGCAUUUCAGACUGGGUAACUAGAGUACUUUAGGGAGGGGUAGAAUUCCACGUGUAGCGGUGAAAUGCGUAGAGAUGUGGAGGAAUACCGAAGGCGAAGNNNGCCCCUUGGGAAUGUACUGACGCUCAUGUGCGAAAGCGNGGGGGAGCAAACAGGAUUAGAUACCCUGGUAGUCCACGCUGUAAACGCUGUCGAUUUGGGGGUUGGGGUUUAACUCUGGCGCCCGUAGCUAACGUGAUAAAUCGACCGCCUGGGAGUACGGCCGCAANNU